rnacentral:rRNA from 1 species
GAUGAACGCUAGCGGGAGGCUUAACACAUGCAAGUCGAGGGGCAACAGGAGUAGCAAUACUUGCUGGCGACCGGCGCACGGAUGAGUAACGCGUAUGCAACCUACCCAUAACAGGGGGAUAGCUUUCGGAAACGGAAAUUAAUACCCCAUAGGAUUUUAAUGCCGCAUGGUAUAAAGAUUAAAACUACGGUGGUUAUGGAUGGGCAUGCGUGCCAUUAGCUAGUUGGCGGGGUAACAGCCCACCAAGGCGACGAUGGCUAGGGGGUCUAAAAGGAUGAUCCCCCACACUGGUACUGAGACACGGACCAGACUCCUACGGGAGGCAGCAGUGAGGAAUAUUGGUCAAUGGGCGAGAGCUUGAACCAGCCAUCCCGCGUGCAGGAAGACGGCCCUAUGGGUUGUAAACUGCUUUUUUAUGGGAAGAAAAAGCCCUACGUGUAGGGCACUGACGGUACCAUAUGAAUAAGCAUCGGCUAACUCCGUGCCAGCCGCCGCAGUAAUAC